rnacentral:tRNA from 1 species
AGUUAAUGAACUUGUAAAGUAAAUAUUUUGAAAAUAUUAUAAAGAAAUUAAAAUUUUCUAUUAACUU